rnacentral:rRNA from 1 species
AGAGUUUGAUCCUGGCUCAGGACGAACGCUGGCGGCGUGCUUAACACAUGCAAGUCGAACGGAGCACCCUUGAUUGAGGUUUCGGCCAAAUGAUAGGAAUGCUUAGUGGCGGACUGGUGAGUAACGCGUGAGGAACCUGCCUUUCAGAGGGGGACAACAGUUGGAAACGACUGCUAAUACCGCAUGACGCAUUUUGAUCGCAUGGUCGAAAUGCCAAAGAUUUAUCGCUGAAAGAUGGCCUCGCGUCUGAUUAGCUAGUUGGCGGGGUAACGGCCCACCAAGGCGACGAUCAGUAGCCGGACUGAGAGGUUGACCGGCCACAUUGGGACUGAGAUACGGCCCAGACUCCUACGGGAGGCAGCAGUGGGGAAUAUUGGGCAAUGGGCGCAAGCCUGACCCAGCAACGCCGCGUGAAGGAAGAAGGCUUUCGGGUUGUAAACUUCUUUUAAGUGGGAAGAGUAGAAGACGGUACCACUUGAAUAAGCCACGGCUAACUACGUGCCAGCAGCCGCGGU